UGGGGGAUAUUGCACAAUGGGCGAAAGCCUGAUGCAGCGACGCCGCGUGGGGGAUGAAGGCUUUCGGGUUGUAAACCUCUUUCGCUAUCGAACAAGGCCCGCUUAGGGUGGGUUGAGGGUAGGUGGAGAAGAAGCGCCGGCUAACUACGUACCAGCAGCCGCGGUAAUACGUAGGGCGCGAGCGUUGUCCGGAAUUAUUGGGCGUAAAGGGCUUGUAGGCGGCUUGUUGCGCCUGCUGUGAAAACGCGGGGCUUAACUUCGCGCGUGCAGUGGGUACGGGCAGGCUUGAGUGUGGUAGGGGUGACUGGAAUUCCAGGUGUAGCGGUGGAAUGCGCAGAUAUCUGGAGGAACACCGAUGGCGAAGGCAGGUCACUGGGCCAUUACUGACGCUGAGGAGCGAAAGCUUGGGUAGCGAACAGG
rnacentral:rRNA from 1 species